GACGAACCGAGCGAACGUUGUUCGGAAUCACUGGGCUUAAAGGGCGCGUAGGCGGGUGCUCAAGUCCGGGGUGAAAUCCCACAGCUCAACUGUGGAACUGCCUCGGAUACUGGGCGUCUCGAGGGUGGCAAGGGUAUGCGGAACUAUCGGUGGAGCGGUGAAAUGCGCAGAUAUCGGGAAGAACACCCGUGGCGAAGGCGGCUCUCUGGGACGGUACUGACGCUGAGACGCGAAAGCGUGGGGAGCGAACAGG
rnacentral:rRNA from 1 species